UACGUAGGGUGCGAGCGUUAAUCGGAAUUACUGGGCGUAAAGCGUGCGCAGGCGGUCUGUUAAGACAGAUGUGAAAUCCCCGGGCUUAACCUGGGAACUGCAUUUGUGACUGGCAGGCUAGAGUAUGGCAGAGGGGGGUAGAAUUCCACGUGUAGCAGUGAAAUGCGUAGAGAUCGGCAGGAACACCCAGGGGGAAACCAGUGGACUGGCACGGGUGCUGACGCUCAGGUGGCGAAAGCGUGGGGAGCGAACCGGGAUUAGACUA
rnacentral:rRNA from 1 species